GGAUGUGGGUCAAGCAGUAGCACGCUUGCCUGGCAUGCGUGUGGCCUGGGUUCGAUCCUCAGCACCACAUACA
rnacentral:tRNA from 1 species